rnacentral:rRNA from 1 species
AACGAACGCUGGCGGCAUGCUUAACACAUGCAAGUCGAACGAGACCUUCGGGUUUAGUGGCGCACGGGUGCGUAACGCGUGGGAACCUGCCCUUAGGUUCGGAAUAACUCCCCGAAAGGGGUGCUAAUACCGGAUAAUGUCUUCGGACCAAAGAUUUAUCGCCUUUGGAUGGGCCCGGGUUGGAUUAGCUGGUUGGUAGGGUAAAAGCCUACCAAGGCGACGAACCAUAGCUGGUCUGUGAGGAUGAUCAACCACACUGGGGAUGAGACACGGCCCAGACCGCUAGGCAGGGGAGCAGUAGGGAAUAUUAGAGGAGGGACGAAAGCCUGAUCCAGCAGUGCCGGGUGAGAGAUGAAGGCCUUAGGAUUGUAAUGCUCUUUUACCCGAGAUGAUAGUGACAGUACCGGGAAAAUAAGCACCGGCUAACUCCGUG